rnacentral:rRNA from 1 species
GUGCCAGCAGCCGCGGUAAUACGUAGGGUGCGAGCGUUAAUCGGAAUUACUGGGCGUAAAGCGUGCGCAGGCGGUUAUAUAAGACAGUUGCGAAAUCCCCGGGCUUAACCUGGGAAUGGCGCUUGUGACUGCACGACUGGAGUGCGGCAGAGGGGGAUGGAAUUCCGCGUGUAGCAGUGAAAUGCGUAGAUAUGCGGAGGAACACCGAUGGCGAAGGCAGUCCCCUGGGCCUGCACUGACGCUCAUGCACGAAAGCGUGGGGAGCAAACAGGAU